ACGCGCAGAACCUUACCAACCCUUGACAUGGAGGGGACCGAUCCAGAGAUGGAUUUUUCUCGUAAGAGACCCCUCACACAGGUGCUGCAUGGCUGUCGUCAGCUCGUGUCGUGAGAUGUUCGGUUAAGUCCGGCAACGAGCGCAACCCACGUCUUUAGUUGCCAGCAUUCAGUUGGGCACUCUAAAGAAACUGCCGGUGAUAAGCCGGAGGAAGGUGUGGAUGACGUCAAGUCCUCAUGGCCCUUACGGGUUGGGCUACACACGUGCUACAAUGGUGGUGACAAUGGGUUAAUCCCAAAAAGCCAUCUCAGUUCGGAUUGGGGUCUGCAACUCGACCCCAUGAAGUCGGAAUCGCUAGUAAUCGCGUAACAGCAUGACGCGGUGAAUACGUUCCCGGGCCUUGUACACACCGCCCGUCACACCAUGGGAAUUGGAUCUACCCGAAGGUGGUGCGCCAACCAGCAAUGGAG
rnacentral:rRNA from 1 species